rnacentral:lncRNA from 1 species
CUUGGUAUGCUUACUAAGGAACUUUUUUUUUUUUUUUAAAUCAUCAUAGCUACGAUUUGAGGUAAAUCUAGGUUAUAGGCUAGGAAGUAGGCAUGGAGAGAUUAAGUAACUUGUCCUGAACCCGGAGUAAUCCUUAAUGGAGUCAGAACUAUAACCUGAAUCUCUUAACCCCUAUAUCAAUGGACUUUUCCUCUAAUACAUGGUACUGCUGUAUUAACCACUUUAUAGCUUUCCUUUCUUUCUUUCUUUUACAGAGUUAAUUAUUUAUAUUGUAAAGAAUUUUAACAGUCCUGGGGACUUCCUUGAAGGAUCAUUUUCACUUUUGCUCAGAAGAAAGCUCUGGAUCUAUCAAAUAAAGAAGUCCUUCGUGUGGGCUACAUAUAUAGAUGUUUUCAUGAAGAGGAGUGAAAAGCCAGAAGGAUAUAGACAAAUGAGGCCUAAGACCUUUCCUGCCAGUAACUAUACUGUCAGUAGCCGGCAAAUGUUACAAGAAAUUCGGGAAUCCCUUAGGAAUUUAUCUAAACCAUCUGAUGCUGCUAAGGCUGAGCAUAACAUGAGUAAAAUGUCAACCGAAGAUCCUCGACAAGUCAGAAAUCCACCCAAAUUUGGGACGCAUCAUAAAGCCUUGCAGGAAAUUCGAAACUCUCUGCUUCCAUUUGCAAAUGAAACAAAUUCUUCUCGGAGUACUUCAGAAGUUAAUCCACAAAUGCUUCAAGACUUGCAAGCUGCUGGAUUUGAUGAGGUAAGAAUGUUUAAAGACAAAAGAAAGGAUUCUUCUUACCUUAUGCUACAUAACACUUUUUGGGUGAUAACAUGCCAAAAUGUUUCCUUUGGGAGAAUUUAACCCUGUAUACACAUUUAUGUAUUCUAUCAGCAAAGAAUGUUACGUUUAUAAUUCCAUUAAUUACUAUUAAAAAUAAUAUUUCUUUAGUUUCUUCUGUGAUAUGUAUCACUAAAUUCUGGAGUUUCUGGAAUUUAAAAGGCCAGAUCAUGAAGUCAUAAUGGAAGUGCAGUUGAAGAAAGCCAUAGGUGAGGGUAGGGGAAGGACAUCUGUUUGUGUGAAAUACAAGCUUGGUGAACUAAGUGGCUGUUGGGGAAAUGAUAGUUCCAAGGAUAUGAAAUUUAACUUUAUAGUAGGGAGAAAGAAUUAUAGUUAAGAGUUUGUGUAAGCAGUUGUGUUCUCAGGCCCAAAUCUUAAAUUCACAAAAACUAACAAAAUUUCACUUCAGGCUAACUGCCAAGUCUUUAAUAUUUCUCUUCAGAAUUCAUUUUGAAGUUUUUUCAUAACCCAUAUAUUUAAUCAUUUCAUUUAGGUUAUUAAUAGAAUUUUCUUCUUAUGAUAAC